rnacentral:rRNA from 1 species
UUCGCAAUGCCCGAAAGGGUGAACGAGCGACGCCGCGUGCGGGAUGAAGGGCUUCGGCUUGUAAACCGCUUUUGUUUGGGAAGAAUGCCCGGAUCGUGAAUUCGGGAGGGACGGUACCAGACGAAUAAGCCCCGGCUAACUCCGUGCCAGCAGCCGCGGUAAGACGGAGGGGGCAAGCGUUGUUCGGAAUUAUUGGGCGUAAAGGGCGCGUAGGCGGAUUGGUAAGUCUGGCGUGAAAUCUCCACCACUCAACGGGGAGAGGUCGCUGGAGAUUGCCGAUCUGGAGUUUGGCAGAGGGUCAUGGAAUUCCAGGUGUAGCGGUGGAAUGCGUAGAUAUCAGAAGGAACGCCGGAGGCGAAAGCGACUCUCUGGCUCGCAACUGACGCUGAGGCGCGAAAGCUAGGGGAGCAAAUGGGAUUAGAUACCCCAGUAGUCCUAGCCGUAAACGAUGGGCACUAAGUAGAGGGGUUUU